rnacentral:lncRNA from 1 species
AGCAUAAUAAAAGGUGUAAAUAAAUACAUGGGAAUGCAAAUAAAUGGGCUUGGAACCCAAGUAGUAAACUAAAUUAAAAUAAAAUAAAAAUAAAAGAGGGACUUAUAACAACAAAACAAUUUCUGCAGAGAAACAUAAACACACGCACGCGUGAGAAAGUGAGAGAAAAAAUAGCAAACCGCAAGAGUGGGUGGCCGCAACCGCGAGAGAGGGAGUGAACGGCGGCGAGAUGGAAACGAUCGGCAAUGUUGUCUACGACGGCGAGAUUGGGUUCCGGUGGCGAGGCUGCAGCGCGGUGGUGAUUUUCAGCGGUAGUUGCGGCGAAGCUUUCUUUCUUGUUCUGUUUAUGAUUUUUGUUUACUGGUUGUGAUGGUUAUGGUGAUUAUUGUGGUUAAAAGAGAUGGAGUUUUGAAGGUGAUUGCGUUGGAAUGGUGAUGGAGGUUCGGUGGAAUAGCGGCAAUGGUUUCUUUUCCUCCCUCUGUUUCUUAUUUCUAUUCUGUUUGUUUUUGGGUUAUGGGUGGUUGUUUUGAUGGUGGUGGAAGUGGUUUGAAUAUGGAGGUUUUGUCUCUUGUGUUUUUACCUCUUUCAACUCUGCCUCUGUCUUUUUUUUCUAGCUCUGUUUUUAUUGUUUCUUGUUGGGUUUUAUUGAUGGAAGAUGGUGGGGUUGGUUUGAUGAAGGUUGAGAUGGUGUUGUGUUGUUACAGUGCUGGUGUUUGUGAAUGAAAGAUGGUGGUGAUGUGUUUACACUCUACAUUUUUCUGGUUUUUCUCUUCCACCUCUCUGUUUUUUUGUUUUCAAUUCUGCUCCUCCCAAUUUUGUUUUCAACUUGCUCUCCCCCUCUGAUUGAUUUCUGGUUCUAUAUUUAUAGACCAAUUGAUCAAUCUUUGUCCAAGAGAUAAAAUUAUAAACUGGAUUUUUGUUUGUUUUGGCCAAAGAAGUAAAUUUGCAGAGUUAAAGGGAAAGAUGAGGCUCUACUUUUGCUUAGAGUGUAGAAUUGGUGAAAGUUAAACUUGAUUUUUGUGAAAGCAGUUAUGAAAAGAAGGAAGCUGAAAACAUGGGGAGGAGGCGUGCACUGCUGCUACAGUGUUCUGCUUUUUCCUUUUGAUUUUUG